AAUGAACGUUGGCGGCGUGGAUUAGGCAUGCAAGUCGAGCGAGAACCGUAGCAAUACGGGGACAGCGGCGAAAGGGACAGUAAUGUGUAGGUACCUACCCCUGGGUUCGGGAUAGCUGCGGGAAACUGCAGGUAAUACCGAAUAAUGUCUCCGGACCAAAGGUGUGAUUCCACCUGGGGAGGGGCCUGCAUCCUAUUAGCUUGUUGGCGGGGUAACGGCCCACCAAGGCAACGAUGGGUAGCGGGUGUGAGAGCACGACCCGCGUCAGUGGGACUGAGAUACGGCGCAGACACGUGCGGGUGGCUGCAGGCGGGGAUCUUCGGCAAUGGGCGAAAGCCGGACCGAGCGACGCCGCGUGCGGGAUGAAGGCCUUCGGGUUGUAAACCGCUGUCGUUGGGGAGGAAGUGCAGGGGGGUUCUCCCCUCUGUUUGGCCUAUCCAAGGAGGAGGUACGGGCUAAGUUCGUGCCAGCCGCCGCUGUAA
rnacentral:rRNA from 1 species